AGGACGAACGCUGGCGGCGUGCUUAACACAUGCAAGUCGAGCGGAAAGGCCCUUCGGGGUACUCGAGCGGCGAACGGGUGAGUAACACGUGAGUAAUCUGCCCCUAGCUCUGGGAUAGCUCCGGGAAACCGGGAUUAAUACUGGAUACGACCACCUUAGACAUCUUUUGUGGUGGAAAGAAUUUCGGCUAGGGAUGAGCUCGCGGCCUAUCAGCUUGUUGGUGGGGUAACGCCUACCAAGGCGACGACGGGUAGCCGGCCUGAGAGGGCGACCGGCCACACUGGGACUGAGACACGGCCCAGACUCCUACGGGAGGCAGCAGUGGGGAAUAUUGCGCAAUGGGCGAAAGCCUGACGCAGCGACGCCGCGUGGGGGAUGAAGGCCUUCGGGUUGUAAACCCCUUUCAGCAGGGACGAAGCGAAAGUGACGGUACCUGCAGAAGAAGCGCCGGCUAACUACGCGCCAGCAGCCGC
rnacentral:rRNA from 1 species